GGGACAACAGUUCGAAAGGACUGCUAAUACCGAAUGUUGUAGAGUUUCCGCAUGGGAAUCCUACUAAAGGUGGCCUCUACUUGUAAGCUAUCGCUUUACGAUGGGUCUGCGUCUGAUUAGCUAGUUGGUGGGGUAACGGCCUACCAAGGCGACGAUCAGUAGCCGGUCUGAGAGGAUGAACGGCCACAUUGGAACUGAGACACGGUCCAGACUCCUACGGGAGGCAGCAGUGGGGAAUCUUCCGCAAUGGGCGCAAGCCUGACGGAGCAACGCCGCGUGAGUGAAGAAGGGUUUCGACUCGUAAAGCUCUGUUGUCGGGGACGAAUGUGGAGAUGGUGAAUAACCAUUUUCAAUGACGGUACCUGACGAGGAAGCCACGGCUAACUACGUGCCAGCAGCCGCGGUAAUACGUAGGUGGCGAGCGUUGUCCGGAAUUAUUGGGCGUAAAGGGAGCGCAGGCGGGAAGGUAAGUCUAUCUUAAAAGUGCGGGGCUCAACCCCGUGAGGGGAUGGAAACUAUCUUUCUUGAGUGCAGGAGAGGAAAGCGGAAUUCCUAGUGUAGCGGUGAAAUGCGUAGAUAUUAGGAGGAACACCAGUGGCGAAGGCGGCUUUCUGGACUGUAACUGACGCUGAGGCUCGAAAGCGUGGGGAGCGAACAGGAUUAGAUACCCUGGUAGUCCACGCCGUAA
rnacentral:rRNA from 1 species